GACUACAGUGGCACAAUUGGCUAGCGCGUGAGACUUUUAAGCAGUCCUGCUCUAAAGACCAUCUCAAGGUUGAGAGUUCGAGCCUCUCCGCGGGAGUUACA
rnacentral:tRNA from 1 species